rfam:Pelodiscus sinensis unplaced genomic scaffold scaffold31, whole genome shotgun sequence.
CCCUCCUCCCCCCAGGCCUCUUGGGUUUCAAUGCUACUUUCACACAAACUCGACUUGAACGCCUACCAAAUUUCUGCCGUGUCUGGGGAAACACCAGUGACUUAGCAAAGACGUAAUAUGAUUUAUUUUUUGUGUCACCGCGAUUGAUUCCUCCGCUGACCCCUUUUCAUUCAUAACAAGCCCCCACCCACCUCUGAUAUAUGAGUUUUGUGCUUAAAAUUACAUGCUGG